GGGAAGUUAGUCCAACCAAGACAGUUGAUUUCGGCUCAACAAAUUAUGGUUAAACCCCAUAACUACCCU
ensembl:Mt_tRNA